rnacentral:rRNA from 1 species
AUGCAGUGUACCCGCGGCAAGACGGAAAGACCCCGUGAACCUUUACUAUAGCUUGACACUGAACAUUGAGCCUUGAUGUGUAGGAUAGGUGGGAGGCUUUGAAGUGUGGACGCCAGUCUGCAUGGAGCCGACCUUGAAAUACCACCCUUUAAUGUUUGAUGUUCUAACGUGGACCCGUGAUCCGGGUUGCGGACAGUGUCUGGUGGGUAGUUUGACUGGGGCGGUCUCCUCCUAAAGAGUAACGGAGGAGCACGAAGGUUGGCUAAUCCUGGUCGGACAUCAGGAGGUUAGUGCAAUGGCAUAAGCCAGCUUGACUGCGAGCGUGACGGCGCGAGCAGGUGCGAAAGCAGGUCAUAGUGAUCCGGUGGUUCUGAAUGGAAGGGCCAUCGCUCAACGGAUAAAAGGUACUCCGGGGAUAACAGGCUGAUACCGCCCAAGAGUUCAUAUCGACGGCGGUGUUUGGCACCUCGAUGUCGGCUCAUCACAUCCUGGGGCUGAAGUAGGUCCCAAGGGUAUGGCUGUUCGCCAUUUAAAGUGGUACGCGAGCUGGGUUUAGAACGUCGUGAGACAGUUCGGUCCCUAUCUGCCGUGGGCGCUGGAGAACUGAGGGGGGCUGCUCCUAGUACGAGAGGACCGGAGUGGACGCAUCACUGGUGUUCGGGUUGUCAUGCCAAUGGCACUGCCCGGUAGCUAAAUGCGGAAGAGAUAAGUGCUGAAAGCAUCUAAGCACGAAACUUGCCCCGA